GAUGAAGGUUUUCGGAUCGUAAAGCUCUGUUGUUAGGGAAGAACAAGGCCGUUCAAAUAGGGCGGCACCUUGACGGUACCUAACCAGAAAGCCACGGCUAACUACGUGCCAGCAGCCGCGGUAAUACGUAGGUGGCAAGCGUUGUCCGGAAUUAUUGGGCGUAAAGGGCUCGCAGGCGGUUUCUUAAGUCUGAUGUGAAAGCCCCCGGCUCAACCGGGGAGGGUCAUUGGAAACUGGGGAACUUGAGUGCAGAAGAGGAGAGUGGAAUUCCACGUGUAGCGGUGAAAUGCGUAGAGAUGUGGAGGAACACCAGUGGCGAAGGCG
rnacentral:rRNA from 1 species